CUUUAUUGGAGAGUUUGAUCUUGGCUCAGGACGAACGCUGGCGGCGUGCCUAAUACAUGCAAGUCGAGCGCGGGAAGCAAACUGAAAUCUUCGGAUGGACGUUUGUGGAACGAGCGGCGGACGGGUGAGUAACACGUGGGCAACCUGCCUGUAAGACCGGGAUAACU
rnacentral:rRNA from 1 species